AGGAGAUUUGGUGGAGAUUUGUCUCUUAACUAUGGUUAAGUGGGGGGUACUAUAAAAUGCACAGUUCUGAGACACUAUAUACCUAUACUGUGAAAUCAGUACAUGUGUGUGUUUAGAAUGAUUAUAGCUUUUGGGGAAAAAACUAUUCUUGAAUCUAUUAGUCCUUGUUCUGAUGCACCUGUAACGUCUCCCUGAGGGCAACAGAUCAGAGCCAGGGUGAGAGCUGUCCUCAAUGAUGGUUUUUCCUCUGCUGAGGCAACGGGGGGUGUAAAUAUCCAUCACGGAGGUGUUGUGGAUAAAAAAUGUCAUAAAAUAAACAUAAGGGAGACCUAGCAUCCAGCAAAGGGGAGAAGAAGAAAAGACGGUCACCUAGACACAUAGAAGCGGGAUUAGGCGGACAUUGACAAAUUGGAAUUACACUUUAAAGAUCUUUAAGAGCAGUAGUACUCAAAAAAGUCAAAAAGAGGUAUACGAGCUGAGCUGAGGAGUGCUAAUACACACACACACACGCUCGUACAGUCAAGGGCGGGCAAGUAGACACAACAUACACACACACUCUCUCGCUCUCAUACACACACAUGAAUAACUUUAAUAAUCUUAUUGUAAUAGAGAAACUCUCUAUAAAAAAACAGAAUAGUAGGAUAUGCAGGACAGUAUGGAGGAUAUGCAGGAGCUUAAGCUCAUCACUUCUGAGAAUUCUCAUCGGUGUGGAUCUCGUGUGGUGGAACGGAACAAUAAAUCUGGACCCUUGCUUCUUCUCACUCACGGCUGGUGUCUUUUUUUCUAUCUCCAACUGGGCUCAGAGGUAGAUGUGAGUGUUGGCUUCUAUGUUGAAUUUUAAGUGUUUUUGGGUAAUAGGCUAUAUUUGAGCCAACAGAGGGGAGAGGUAAUAAAUAAACUUAUAAAUGUGAUUACUUGAUGACCGUAGACAAAACUCUAUAAAUGUGAAAUGUUUUGUUGAAGUUCAGAUGAAUCUCUGAUGUACAGAAUCUUCAACAGAGUUCUGCAGAAAGAUUUUGAAUGCCUGUCAUUCACCAGAACAAAUUUGCAGGUGAUCAGUCUGUCUAAAAGAAAAAAUCUAAACACACAAUAUAAAAUUCCUGCAGUGUGAAUAAAGCCUUUGUGUUGCUUUUAGCAAACAUGUCUAAGUACUCUCGGUUCAAUGUACACAAUUUACCCCAUUUAAAUGCAUUUUGGAAAUUGUUCCACAUGGCCUUAAAGUGUGAAUAUUCACUGUAUGCCAAAUAAGUAAUCAAAGAAUGGAAUGGAUUUUUUCUUCUCUAAUGGACCAAUUCUUCCCUAAGCAGUGGCUAUGUACCUAAAUCACUUAAAUUAGCAGUUAUUAAACCCUUGAUUAAAAAACCUGAUCUUGACCCGUCUCAAUUGUCCAGCUAUAGACCAAUAUCAAAUCUCCCCUUCAUCUCUAAGAUUUUAGAAAAGGUUGUAGCAAAGCAGUUAUGCUCGUACUUAGAUAGGAAUAACAUUCAUGAAAUGUAUCAGUCAGGAUUUAGACCUCAUCAUAGCACAGAGACAGAGUUAGUUAAAGUAGUAAAUGACCUUCUACUGACUUACGAUCAGGGUUGUGUCUCGCUGCUUGUGUUACUCGACCUUACUGCAGCUUUUGAUACUAUAGAUCACACUAUUCUCCCUGAUAGAUUAGAAAAUGUUGUUGGUAUUAAGGGAACAGUCCUCUCCUGGCUCAGGUCUUAUCUGACCGAUCGUUAUCAGUUCGUAGAUGUAAAUGGUGAAUUCUCCAUGCGUACUGAGGUUACUUUUGGAGUUCCACAGGGUUCUGUUUUAGGCCCACUGCUCUUUACUUUAUAUAUGCUACCCCAGGUCAAAUUAUUCGUAAACAUGGAAUUAGCUUCCACUGUUAUGCUGAUGAUACACAGUUGUAUGUUUCAGCGAAGCCAGAGGACAGACAUAAGCUUAGUAAAGUUGAGGAUUGUGUAAAGGACAUUAGACAUUGGAUGUUAAUUAACUUCCUUCUGCUUAAUUCUGAUAAAACAGAAAUACUUUUAUUAGGCCCAUGUGUAGCUAGAAGUAUCCUUUCUGAUCACAUGGUUACUCUGGAUGGUCUUUCUGUUUCAUCAUGUGCAGCAGUUAAAGACCUUGGAGUGAUUAUUGACUCCAGCCUAUCAUUUGAUGCUCAUGUAGAUAAUAUUACUAGGAUCGCCUUCUUUCAUCUCAGAAAUAUUUCUAAAAUAAGAAACAUAUUGUCACUACAUGAUGCGGAAAUACUAGUUCAUGCAUUCGUCGCCUCUAGAUUAGAUUACUGUAAUGCCUUACUGUCUGGAUGUUCCAGUAGGAAUAUAAAUAAGCUCCAAUUAGUCCAGAAUGCAGCUGCUAGAGUCCUAACUAGAACUAGAAGAUACGACCACAUCACCCCGAUCUUAUCCACACUGCAUUGGCUCCCUGUAAAAUCUCGCAUUAAUUAUAAAAUACUCUUAUUAACCUAUAAAGCACUAAACGGUCUCGCGCCACAAUAUCUAAGCGACCUUUUGGUUUUAUAUGAUCCGCCACGCCUACUUAGAUCAAAAGAUGCAGGCUAUCUGACGGUACCUCGAAUAGUGAAGGCUACAGCAGGGGGAAGAGCUUUCUCUUAUAGGGCCCCACAGUUAUGGAACAGUCUUCCUAUUAGUGUUCAGGACUCAGACACAGUCUCAGUGUUUAAGUCUAAGCUUAAAACGUAUUUGUUUACUCAAGCCUACCCUGACUAGAUUCUGUUCUAUUUUCUCCCUCUCUCCUUUCGCCGAGCCCCACACGAAUUUAUGGAGAUACUAGAGAUCCUGAUCCUUUCAGCCUCUGGAUGGAGCUCAAAUCUUCUUUAAUUCCAGACUGCUGGGACUACGGCUGCUCUUAACACCAUACAGAUUUCAUAUAAAUCCAUAAUGAACUUUUUCACAAUAUCUGUUGUUACCCAGAUGAGGAUGGGUUCCCUUCUGAGUCGGGUUCCUCUCAAGGUUUCUUCCUCUUAAAACAUCUUAGGGAGUUUUUCCUUGCCACCGUCGCCACUCAGUGGCUUGCUCAGUUGGGAUAAAUUCACACCUUUAAUAUCUGUAUACCGUGUUGAUAUUUCUGUAAAGCUGCUUUGAGACAAUGUCUAUUGUAAAAAGCGCUAUACAAAUAAAAUUGAAUUGAAUUGAAUUGAAUUGAAUUAAUGGACCAUUAAUCACAAUUAUAAAAGAUGAUGCAUCAGGUACAAAGUAUCAGGGUUUUUCCCCCCUCUUUUUCCCACAAUAGUUGCAUGAUUUUUGCUACACCCUUUCCACCGUGUGUGUGUGUGUGUGUGUGUGUGCGCGCGCGCUACAAAUCACUUUGAGGUAAAAAUAUUUUAAGGCAGCCACUUUCACCUUCCUACAACAAUUGGUGACUGGUCUGAGGUGAAGCUUCUUGUCAUGUUACUGUGGUCAUGGAUCACAUUGUGGGGAUCUCUGUAAUGUAACCGUUUCUGUAAUUAUCCUUACUUGCCUUUGCGCUUUUGUGCUUCUGUAUCUUCUGUUGGUGCUUUAUUCUGCUUUUUAGGGCCCGAGCACCGCUGCUGCAAAGCCCUAUUGGAUCUGCUGUUUAUUAUUGGGGCAGAGCACCGAAGGUGCAGCGCUUCCGGUGACCACCGGAGGGCGCAUGCACCGGAUGUGCAGGGCCCUAUUGAUUUUCUGGUGUUUAUUGUUUAUUUCAUGCAUUCUUGUCGUUUUUAAGGACCUAAACAUGGCUGAAAACUCCCAAAACUCGGUAGACGCGCCAGCACCAGUGAAAAUGUAACUUGCAUGGGCAUGGUCGAGGAGCUCCUUAGCACCCCUGAAUGCAGACAAAGAUAUCAGUUAGAUUCAGCUUCGGACACAAGUUCCAGGUACUGAUCGAGAAGGAGUGGAUCAGCUUCGGACACAAGCUGGCCUCGGUGCGUAUGAGCAGUGAGGGCGUGGUUGUGUGUGGGCGCGUGAACGCAUGUAUAUUUAACCCCAUCUUUCUCUCUCUGUGUGUUUCUCAGCGUGUCGGCCUUGGAGAUGAGAAUCACGCCAACUCGGAACGAUCCCCUCUCUUUGUGCAGUUCAUCGACUGUGUGUGGCAGAUGAUGAGACAGGUGAAACCCAGGGCUCAAACCAAGAGAAGACAUUCAGAGCUAUUCAUUCUUUAAAGUCCAUUUAACGAGGUACACCUGGCCAGCAAGAAAAAAACAUCAGUCACUCGUUCCAGUAUUUUUGAACAGUUAAUGAAUAGGAUGGCUUCAAAAAAGCUGCCAUAUUUUAAGCUGUGUAACACGUCUAGAUGUAAAUAUGAGGAAAUGAAAGCUGAAAUUCUGAUCUAUCGUCUCAUAUUCGUCUUUUAUCUCAAACCCAAAUGUCUUCAGUAUACAGCAAAAGCAAGUGAAUUGGCCUUGAUGUUCCAAUACUUUUGAAGAGGACUCUAAUUGUAAGAAUUAAAUAUAAUUUCCGUACUGAACAAAGACUGAUUAUCUGUUCAGGCGUUAUUGUGCAGAUCCACAUUUAAGCAUCUUACUAUACACUGUUAAACCCAGUGUUUGUGUUCUUUCUUUCAGUUUCCUUCUGCUUCUGAGUUCAAAGAGCUUUUUCUCAUCCCCAUCCUGGAUCGCCCCUACAGCUGCCUGUUUGGUACAUUCCUCUACAGCAGUGAGCAGGAGAGAAUGGAAAAGGAAGUACAGGGUAAAACGGUCACUGUGGUCCUACGUUAACAGUCAGCCGGAGGACUUCACUAACCCGUUCUAUGUGGACUGUAAAAACCAGGUGCUGUAUCCACUGGCCAGUCUCGCACAUCUGGAGCUCUGGGUGGGUUAUUAUGUGCGCUGGAACCCACACAUGAGACCACAGAUGCCGCUUCAUCAGAAUCUGAGAGAGUUAUUGUUUUUGCGUGAAGAACGUGGAGGAGCUCCAGAGAGAGGCCACGUCAUCCUGCUCCAUCUCCUCAUCCUCAGAGCAUACUUCUCCCUCCUCACAUAGUGCAUAAACGGCCCUUUCUCUGUCUCUCUGUAAGUAGAUGACCAUCCUGACCUCUGAGGCUUCAUCACUCAUCACCAUGGUAACUGUCUUGUCCACCCCCAGUAAAAGGCUGCAUACUCAUACUGUGCUGUGAAAAAGCGUUUGCUUCCAUCUGCUUUUUAGCAAGUGCACACUUCCAUCCAUCCAUCCUACACAGGGUUGUGGGGAGCCUGGAGUCUAUCCCAGGGAACUCGGGGCACAAGGCAGGGGACACCCUGGACAUGGUGCCAACCCAUCACAGGGCACAAUCACUCGUGCACACACACACUGGACAAUUUUGGAGAUGCCAAUCCACCUACAACGGAUGUCUUUGGACUGGGGGAGGAAACCCCUGAAGCACAUUUGCAGGGACAUCGAGGAAAUUUAGUGAAACCCAGUCAGUGAUCUUAUUGGAUAAUUAGUCUCUAAUGAUUUGACCUUGUUUGUUACGCUGCUAAAUAUUUUCCAAAGGUAUGGAAGUGAUGUUAAGUCAGCAGACGUAUUGUGUGGGUUUGUGUUCUCUCUCCCUCCCCCUGUUUUUUUCUCACAGGUCGCUCUGACCUAAUUCGUUGUGCUGACGUGCUGCACGGGGAUUGGAGAGGAGAAGAUUGUCCCUCUUUUAAAAAGGAGGACGAACAAUAUGUUGGGAGGAAUGCGGAUGUGUGGGGUGUCUGUGUCUGCGUGUGUACGACUGAGUAGCGAAUGUUUUUCCUGGUGUUUGAGUGAAAUCGCUUGCUUGUUGUGUGUGUACGAGUGAAAGAAGUGAGUGGAAGUAUAUUGUGUUGUCCCAUUCCCCUGGUUUGUCUUGUGUUGUGGCUGAGUGUACGCCUGAAUUGUAAAUACAUCUUUCAUUGUAAAUAUUUCUCUUCUUACUGUCAUGAAAGCUGUAGGGGUUGUGUGGCGUUUAUUUUUGGGCUCUACCUUUUGUUCGCUGUUUUUGCCUCAGUGAGGGAGUCAGGUUAGACUCUGUUUUCUUUUGACAUACCUUUUUUGUUAGGUUAGUUAAACUGAUACAGGGAAGAUAUCGAUUGUUUUGUUUAUUACAUUGGCCUUGCCAGCCCUGAAGAGUGGUGCUUUCCGAGUGAUUCUGUUUGUUUUGCAUUAUUUUUCUUGUGAUCAUUAAAUUUGUAAGAUUUGAAAGACGUGAGGUAAUGAGAUAAUGAGGUGUCAACCUCAUUAUUUCUGAGUCUGAUUUGUUUUUGUUUAUACUUUUUUUAUGUUACACCUCGACCCUAGACUGGGGUCGUAACAGUGAGUCAAAAAUAACUUCCGUUUCCUUUUAUGGACUUUUGUGGGCAUUGCUACAUGGAAAUGAGCUGUGUCAGGAACACGGUUUGCACUUUAGAGGUGAACAACACGCGUACACAAGUACGAAGAACAUCGGCGUUUCCGAAACUUUUAUAAAUCCGGCAGAAACGUUUAGUUUGGUUUGACUUGGGCAAACAUUUACACACAACUUUACUAAAAGAAACUUGC